CCUACGGGAGGCAGCAGUGGGGAAUAUUGGACAAUGGGCGAAAGCCUGAUCCAGCCAUGCCGCGUGUGUGAAGAAGGCCUUCGGGUUGUAAAGCACUUUCAGUGGGGAAGAAAGCCUUGGGGCUAAUACCCUCGAGGAAGGACAUCACCCACAGAAGAAGCACCGGCUAACUCCGUGCCAGCAGCCGCGGUAAUACGGAGGGUGCGAGCGUUAAUCGGAAUUACUGGGCGUAAAGCGCGCGUAGGCGGUCUGAUAAGCCGGUUGUGAAAGCCCCGGGCUCAACCUGGGAACGGCAUCCGGAACUGUCAGGCUAGAGUGCAGGAGAGGAAGGUAGAAUUCCCGGUGUAGCGGUGAAAUGCGUAGAGAUCGGGAGGAAUACCAGUGGCGAAGGCGGCCUUCUGGACUGACACUGACGCUGAGGUGCGAAAGCGUGGGUAGCAAACAGGAUUAGAUACCGUGUAGUC
rnacentral:rRNA from 1 species